UACGUAGGGCGCAAGCGUUAUCCGGAAUUAUUGGGCGUAAAGAGCUCGUAGGCGGUUUGUCGCGUCUGCCGUGAAAGUCCGGGGCUCAACCCCGGAUCUGCGGUGGGUACGGGCAGACCAGAGUGAUGUAGGGGAGACUGGAAUUCCUGGUGUAGCGGUGAAAUGCGCAGAUAUCAGGAGGAACACCGAUGGCGAAGGCAGGUCUCUGGGCAUUAACUGACGCUGAGGAGCGAAAGCAUGGGGAGCGAACAGG
rnacentral:rRNA from 1 species